rnacentral:rRNA from 1 species
UACGUAGGGAGCAAGCGUUUGUCCGGAAUCAUUGGGCGUAAAGCGCGCGUAGGUGGCUUCGUAAGUCCGUUGUGAAAGUCAAAGGCUCAGCCUUUGAAAGCCGAUGGAUACUGUGGAGCUAGAGUACGGAAGAGGCGAGUGGAAUUCCUGGUGUAGCGGUGGAAUGCGCAGAUAGUCAGGAGGAACACCGAUGGCGAAGGCAGAUCUCUGGGCCGUAACUGACGCUGAGGAGCGAAAGCAUGGGGAGCGAACAG